UUCGAAUUUUGCGUUCGAACCCUGAAGCGUUCGAAGUACGAGAUCAGGGUGCAGAAUUAACACCUGACCGGAUAAUUAUAGUUGCGGUCCGUAGUCAACUUUAAUCGUUCUUACUCAUUAAUUAAUUUACUGUCAGCAGGAAUGUCCCACCCAGUCUAGUUGAAUGUUCGUCAUUUUAACUGGGGAUUUUUUUUAUGAGAUUUAGUCACGAGGUGGAGCCCUGUUAUUUGAACUUCAAUCUGGCAACCAGAACGGUAAUAAUAUCCCAAUUUCCUCCCAUCCAAGCUGGAGUCGGAUUCAUCCGAUCUGUUAUUAGACAAGCAACGCAUGCUACAACACGUGACGAUGACACACCCUCUGAUUUCCACGUCUGUCGUGAUGCGGAACGUGACAUCACGCGAAGGAGACCUAUUAAAGGGAGAUUCUUGUAAGAACUAUUUCGUGACAUCUGUGAUUAUCUAAGACAAUAAAACUUUAUAGAAUGAAAUUGCAUAUCCAUAGGUAUUACGCAUUAAAUCUGCAUAAUUUAUAAAAUAAAAUAAUAUAUCUUAAAAUAAAUUAUUAAAUGUCUUAGGUUAAUGCUUAUGCUUUUUUGAAUAUAAUACAACUGUUGAUAGAAACACAACACGGAAAAAUUGCGAGAAUGAAUGAGAUAUAAAUUAAGAAAACACGAAUAAAGAUUGACCUACAGAUACUAAAUCAAGGGAACUCAAGAUAUAAAUUAAGUUAUAGAUGAAGAUAAUACACCAGUACUGCGCUACUUCCUUGCAAAUUAUGGGAGAAUUGAUGAAGUAACCUAUAGAGAGGGAAGAUACAGUGAUAAUGAACUAAAAUGAUAGCAGCUGGCUUAUAAAUUUAUUUUGAAAAAAGAUAACAAGCAAAUAGACAGUGUUAUAUCGUAUAAGUAUGCAGCCAAUAAUAUCAAUAUAUGAAUUGAUACGUUGUAGAAACAAACAACAGUGAAAGAAAUGUAAAUGGCUGUGGAGUCGGAGUCGGAGUCGUGGAGUUUUGGUGUUUUAGCCGGAGUCGGAG